rnacentral:rRNA from 1 species
AUUGAACGCUGGCGGCAGGCCUAACACAUGCAAGUCGAACGGUAACAGGGAUCAGCUUGCUGAUUCGCUGACGAGUGGCGGACGGGUGAGUAAUGUCUGGGAAACUGCCUGAUGGAGGGGGAUAACUACUGGAAACGGUAGCUAAUACCGCAUACCGUCGCAAGACCAAAGAGGGGGACCUUCGGGCCUCUUGCCAUCGGAUGUGCCCAGAUGGGAUUAGCUAGUAGGUGGGGUAACGGCUCACCUAGGCGACGAUCCCUAGCUGGUCUGAGAGGAUGACCAGCCACACUGGAACUGGGACACGGUCCAGACUCCUACGGGAGGCAGCAGUGGGGAAUAUUGCACAAUGGGCGCAAGCCUGAUGCAGCCAUGCCGCGUGUAUGAAGAAGGCCUUCGGGUUGUAAAGUACUUUCAGCGGGGAGGAAGGGAGUAAAGUUAAUACCUUUGCUCAUUGGCGUUACCCGCAGAAGAAGCACCGGCUAACUCCGUG